rnacentral:antisense_RNA from 1 species
UUUUAAUAAAAAUAAAUAAAGCGUCGAAUGAUUGAUAAGGUAACAUCGCAAUACUCAAACUCUUUCAGAUAUUCAGGAAAAACACGCAAAAAGACGGAUACAUUAAAUGAAUGGCCAGUUUAAUUCCUCUUUCAUAUAUAACUUGAAUUACAUGAACUUGGAUUAACUUUAGUCCAUCUUAAUAUCUCUUGUUUAAGAAAUACUUAAUUUUCUGUCAAUUAUACAAAAAAAAGAAUAGGUUCUUAAUUGAUCACUUGAUUGAUUCUCAACAUUACAUCAUUAUUAAAAUUGAAAUCUACCAAGCAUAUCUUGAUAUUAAAUAAAUAAAUAAAUCCAUGUAAUCAAGGAUCAAAAAUGGAAACAAUACUAUAUCAUCCCCAAUCAAUACACAUAGGAGUAUUUGAAUAAGAAACUUGUAUAUUCUGGAAUCGAGCUUGGAAUUAAUAAAUUGAUCAUUUCCAUAAAUGAAGAGUUAUCUUCUUUCAAAUAUUAAACAGGCUUUCAAAAAAUUCAGUUAUUAUUGCACAUACCUAGUUAGUUUCUG